rnacentral:lncRNA from 1 species
AUAUCGCGUAUACAAGCAUAUAUGCUCCUGACGAGACUCACUACGGACAACGUAAAAUAUGGAAGUCCUGUUGGUCCAGAAGCAAGCUGUUUUCUUACCAUCGGAAGCAACGUUAAUGUGUUAUAGAAGAUUCCAAACUGGUUCAGGUCAGUUUCUUAGCUCAACUUUGUUUUUCUUUUUUUUUCUUGGUAUUCUUGCUGAUCUUGUCUUCUAACUCAUUUUCAGCAUGGGCUACUAGCUAAUGAGACAAUGCUUGACCACGUGAUAGAGUCAGGCCUAGCAAAUGCUCAGAAAAGUCGAAUAAAGGUACAACUUGGUUGUUUUACGAGUUUUCUUCGUCCGUGAUCGUAUCUUCCCUGUGAAAGUUAUGCCUUCAGCAGGCACGCAUGGGUCUUUUGUAGUUUUUCUCUUGGCUCAACGCUCAAACGUUCCAUGUUACGAGGAAACAGGAGCGAGCGUCUUUCACUUUCGUGCCUUAUCAUUACGCUGCCAGCGGUGCUUCUCGUGAGCUUUUUAUAGUCUUUUCAUUCUCUCUCGCUGUUACUUAACGAAGAUGUUGCAGGCUCGCGCUUGUGGCAGCGAUGCUGGAAAGCAUCACAUAAGCUGCCGCUGCUUUUCUUGGAUCCAUGCUUACAAUACCAUCAGCAACAUCUCCACCCGGUAAGCUUUCAUCUCCCACAGCUUUCGAGGCGCCGAGUAUUGUAUUCCAGGCAACGCUGUCGGGAUUGUAAGGCAUGCUAUUGACCAGCUCCCGGGCCUCCUCCAGCCUCCCCGCUCGUCCCAGAAUGUCGACCAUGC